UACGUAGGGGGCAAGCGUUGUCCGGAAUCAUUGGGCGUAAAGAGCGCGUAGGCGGCCCAGUAAGUCCGCUCUGAAAGUCAGGGGCUCAACCCCUGAAUGCGGGUGGAUACUGCUGGGCUAGAGUACGGUAGAGGGGGAUGGAAUUCCGCGUGUAGCAGUGAAAUGCGUAGAUAUGCGGAGGAACACCGAUGGCGAAGGCAAUCCCCUGGACCUGUACUGACGCUCAUGCACGAAAGCGUGGGGAGCAAACAGG
rnacentral:rRNA from 1 species